rnacentral:lncRNA from 1 species
UUUUUUUUUCAAUGCAUCCUUUUACACUAACUUCUCUAUUUUAUUUUAGGCACCCCACUUUUAAGAUGGCCGAUAUAAAGGAUACUUAAUUGACAUUUGCCAACAUACCCAAGAAAUGGUUCAACUGAUCUUCUGGGGACAUCACUAAGAAAACUGACCCUGAGGACUAUUCCAUUCAGUCACCUCCUACUUGAGGUUUUGUCAUCACUGUGUCGUUCAAGGACAGUCUUUCUAGCUGGCCUUGGAUAAGAGGGGUUCUGACCAGCGGGAUCAAACUUGGCCAUAAUACAUUAGGCUGGCUUGCCUAAAGCACUAGGUCCUCAACUCUACAAGGAACUUCUUCACUUUAAUUUAUUUGUUCCUCCUUAGACCCAGCUUUCCACUUCAUGUACAUAACUACAAGCCAAUUUACUAGCUAGGUUUCUCUGGUAGUACAAUUUGAAUGCAAUCUAUCAAGUUUCAGAUAAUGUCCCCCAAUACACAUAUACACACUAGCUCUUUUCUUUCUUCUUUUCUGAUGUUGGGGAUUGUGCCCAGGCUUCAUGCACAGCAGACAAGCUGAGCCACACCCUAGCCACGCAUCAGCCUUUUAGCACUGCACAGACACAUCCCAGAACCUUUGCCUACAAAAGCGUUGCUUGCCUAUUUCCUGCCUGCGAUACUUCUGGCCUAGACUUGGAGUAUGUUCCCAUUGCGGUAGUCUCCCUCAGUAACAUUGUUCCUUGCUCAACUCCAGACUCACUUUUUAACUUUUGCUUUACAAUGCAAAAGAUAUCAUUUGGGAUUUGAUUUGGAAAAGGUUAAAAAAAAUUAAACUUGUAAGAAAAUUUGAUUGCUUAAAUGGGAUAUCAAAUUGCUAAGAAACAAAACUUGGUACCUAUAUAACCCAAAUGACAUUAAAGUAUUUCUAAAAUAGACAUGGGUGGUAAUAUCAUUGAAAAAAUUAUUAUCUAGUUCUUGUAAUCUGGGGCAUAGUAAAGCCAACACAAAAGACAGGACAUCAUUCCAAAGCACACAAUGUUCAUUUCUAUUCUGAUUCUUUAGAAGAGAAAGAAAAAUCUUUUACUAGCUCUGACUAAGAGGAUAUCACUAAUCCAAGA